rnacentral:rRNA from 1 species
ACUCCUACGGGAGGCAGCAGUGGGAAUAUUGCACAAUGGGCGCAAGCCUGAUGCAGCCAUGCCGCGUGUAUGAAGAAGGCCUUCGGGUUGUAAAGUACUUUCAGUCAGAUGAGGAAGGUAGUGUAGGUUAAUAGCUGCAUUAUUUGACGUUAGCUGCAGAAGAAGCACCGGCUAACUCCGUGCCAGCAGCCGCGGUAAUACGGAGGGUGCGAGCGUUAAUCGGAAUUACUGGGCGUAAAGCGCAUGCAGGUGGUUUGUUAAGUCAGAUGUGAAAGCCC